UUCUAGAUCCCCAAUUUGUAUGUGAUGAUGAAGAAUUUUAUUAUGAUCCGACUAGACAAGAGUGUGUGGAAUACGUGGAAGAACUUGAUGACUUCUACUGUGAAAUCGACCAUCACUGCCGUAAUUUGAAAUAUGCAAACUGCACUGAGAAUAUGUGUGUCUGUAAACCAAAAUAUGAGAACAUCGGAGGUGUCUGUCUUGGGUACAACGGAGCUGUCUGUGGAGAAGUUUCCGACUGUAUAGUGACCAACUCGAUUUGUAAUCAGACAUGUCAGUGUCCCGAAAAUCAUUACCUAGGAGGACACACUUGCUGGAAAUUUGCCGAGAAGUUAAGUGAUACCU